rnacentral:rRNA from 1 species
UACGGGGGGGGCAAGCGUUGUUCGGAAUUACUGGGCGUAAAGGGCUCGUAGGUGGCCAACUAAGUCAGACGUGAAAUCCCCAGGCUCAACUUGGGAACUGCGUCUGAUACUGGAUGGCUUGAAUUCGGGAGAGGGAUGCAGAAUUCCAGGUGUAGCGGUGAAAUGCGUAGAUAUCUGGAGGAAUACCGGUGGCGAAGGCGGCAUCCUGGACCGAGAUUGACACUGAUGAGCGAAAGCGUGGGGAGCAAACGGG